rnacentral:tRNA from 1 species
UCAGAGAAUAGUUUAAAAAAAUAUUAGUUUUGGGGAUUGAAGAUAAAGAUAUUUCUUUUUCUCUGAA